UGUGAUGGAUUUACAAAUAAUGAGAUUUAUUGAAUAGGAUGUAUCCACCUUAAUUCCAGUAGAUGAUUUGCUGAUGCUAGAGAUGUUGCCCACUUUAUUCAUGCUCUCAUAGACUUACAACAAUGUACAAUUCAAUACUUGUCAACCCAUUGCUAAUGAAAGUGUUCUGCUGCUUUCUGCAAACGAUCGCUGACAUCUAGGAACAUAACUAAGCCCCAGGAGCUUUGCUCAGCACUUACACACAUAGACGAGAAAUGUGCAAUUAAAUCUCUAGAUUUGAAAUGGUUAAAAGAUUAGGAGGAAAAAAGAAAGCGUUGACUUCUGGCUGGGACUGUGGAAAUUAUAACACAGAAGGAAGUUCUUAAUUGUUUUGUUGUGAUAGAGACGAGAAUGUCUUGGGCUGGUGAGCCUGACAAAUCCAGAACACUACAGCAGUUUACAUGGUGUUUAUUUCCUGCUAAGACCAGAUGCCAAAAACUAACAAAUGUGAAGGCUGGGAAAAAAAGGCAACAACUAGCUAACCUUAUCAUAUUAACUACUUACUUGCUGACCUUCAACUCGGUUGCAAACAGUGAAAUCCCUGUCAUGUCGACACAGUUCUGUUUGAAAUUCCAGUCUUGAAGACACUAUCCAGUUUGAAUUCCCAGUCACGAAGAUGCGAUUCCGAUGGAAUUCCCAUUUAUGAAGGCAACUGUACAGAAACUGACAAACAUUAUAAUGGUACAUUAGAAAUAAAUAGAACUGGUUGCUACAUGUCAUUUCUAGAAGUUGUGGCUGAUUUCUGUUUUCUCACUCUUCCUGCAGAUUCAGUUAGCUCAACGUAUUAAAAACAUAUACUUUUGUAAA